rnacentral:rRNA from 1 species
CGUGUAGGCGGCUAUUCAAGUCAGGGGUGAAAGGCCUGGGCUCAACCUGGGAACUGCCUUUGAAACUGGAUGGCUUGAGACCGGAAGAGGAUGGCGGAAUUCCCAGUGUAGAGGUGAAAUUCGUAGAUAUUGGGAAGAACACCGGUGGCGAAGGCGGCCAUCUGGUCCGGUUCUGACGCUGAGGCGCGAAAGCGUGGGGAGCAAACA